CCCUUUCUCGCAGACAUUAUGGAAGUUGCUAAAUUGGUCUCCUUGGAUCUAUGGAGCAGGGUGAGGGACUCAGCACAGGUGGACGUUUGGAAAUGAUUUGGGAAAAGGACCUGAUGGCAGCAGGGAUACCAGAGCAAUACAUUCACCGUGGACCUGAAAUGUUGUUCCAAUUACUGCCUUCAUUAUGGGUUUGUCAUCCCCAGUUUAAAUGCACGGCGGCCUGCAUUUCAUGCUGUGGCAGGAGAGGCCACUUGUUUUUUUUCAUGUAGUCUGAUAUCCGCUGCAGGCAAAUGCAGCUUAGUGUGGAGACAGCCACACAUAGGGGGCACUCCAUGUAAAAAUGUGAAUGAACUGAAACUAAAGAGGGACUACAUGAAAUGGGUUUUCAUUGUGAUGUCAGUUUUGGUCUAUCAGUAAUUGUAAUCUCAGGUCUUCAUUAUCAUCAUGUUUUAAAUCCAAAUUUAAUACGCAUGUCAUCCACUUGUGAAAUAAAAACUACUUUAAGUUGUUUUGUUUUGCUUUAGAACGGUUCCAUUUAAAGGUCUACAGACCUCUAUUUUGUUACUCUGUUACACAGUGUUCUCUCCUUCCUCUCAGGAAGAUUAAAUCACUUGUGUUACUCGGAAAUGCUCCAGGCAAUAAGGCAGGAUGGAGCACGUACAAAAGAACCUAACAUGGUUUGAAAGAGCAAGACAGAGAGUUAGACAGAAGGGAGUGUGUUGUGAUGUAACAUCAUUGUGGCGACUCUCUUGACUUAACACCAUUAACCAUCCAGUGUGAGAGUCCAGCUGUCUCUCUGAACCACUGAGGUGAGUUACCUGGGCUGACUUACCUGUCCUCCCAAUGCCCCCCAGGAUACAGUGUUUCAGCCAGGCCCCGUGUACUCCCCUCUCCACAGCACUUAGCAGUGAUUAACCCCGGAUUCGGCCAGCCCACCUGCCAUCUGACUACCAUUACAGCCCUGCUUAUCUGCCUCUCUAUCUCCCUACAAUAGGACCGGGGCCUGGGCUAGGCUGGGGGAUCGGGCUGGGGAGGGCUGCCUGCUCUGUUUAAUAAUAAAUCAUUAGCUAAACACUUUUGUCCAUUUGUGU